CUACAUCUAACUAUACUUACCAGGCUCUUUUCCUGAUGGGGCCCAAUGUGAAAUGACUUCAAACAACUGCCUUUUUGGUACUGUACAUAGCCUGUAUGUAAAAUGGGCAGCGAUAAGGGAUCCAGGUUUCAGAU